ACGGGUGAGUAACGCGUGGGAACGUGCCUUCUGGUUCGGAAUAACUCAGGGAAACUUGAGCUAAUACCGGAUACGCCCUUUUUGGGGAAAGGUUUACUGCCGGAAGAUCGGCCCGCGUCUGAUUAGCUAGUUGGUGGGGUAACGGCCUACCAAGGCGACGAUCAGUAGCUGGUCUGAGAGGAUGAUCAGCCACACUGGGACUGAGACACGGCCCAGACUCCUACGGGAGGCAGCAGUGGGGAAUAUUGGACAAUGGGCGCAAGCCUGAUCCAGCCAUGCCGCGUGAGUGAUGAAGGCCUUAGGGUUGUAAAGCUCUUUUAUCCGGGACGAUAAUGACGGUACCGGAGGAAUAAGCCCCGGCUAACUUCGUGCCAGCAGCCGCGGUAAUACGAAGGGGGCUAGCGUUGCUCGGAAUCACUGGGCGUAAAGGGCGCGUAGGCGGUCUUUUAAGUCGGGGGUGAAAGCCUGUGGCUCAACCACAGAAUUGCCUUCGAUACUGGGAGACUUGAGUUCGGAAGAGGUUGGUGGAACUGCGAGU
rnacentral:rRNA from 1 species